GCCCUUGUAGCUCAACGGAUAGAGCGCCGGUUUCCUAAACCGGGCGCAGCCGGUCCGACUCCGGCCAUGGGCACGA
rnacentral:tRNA from 2 species